UUCCAGACUCCUACGGGAGGCAGCAGUGGGGAAUAUUGCACAAUGGGGGGAACCCUGAUGCAGCGACGCCGCGUGAGUGAAGAAGUAUUUCGGUAUGUAAAGCUCUAUCAGCAGGGAAGAAAAUGACAGUACCUGACCAAGAAGCCCCGGCUAACUACGUGCCAGCAGCCGCGGUAAUACGUAGGGGGCAAGCGUUAUCCGGAUUUACUGGGUGUAAAGGGAGCGUAGACGGUUAUGUAAGUCUGGAGUGAAAGCCCGGGGCCCAACCCCGGGACUGCUUUGGAAACUGUGUAACUGGAGUACAGGAGGGGCAGGCGGAAUUCCUGGUGUAGCGGUGAAAUGCGUAGAUAUCAGGAGGAACACCGGCGGCGAAGGCGGCCUGCUGGACUGAAACUGACGUUGAGGCUCGAAAGCGUGGGGAGCAAACAGGAUUAGAUACCCGUGUA
rnacentral:rRNA from 1 species